CCUACGGGGGGCAGCAGUGAGGAAUAUUGGUCAAUGGACGAGAGUCUGAACCAGCCAAGUAGCGUGAAUGAUGACUGCACUAUUGAUUGUAAACUUCUUUUAUAUGGGAAUAAAACGUUCCACGUGUGGGAUUUUGUAUGUACCAUAUGAAUAAGGAUCGGCUAACUCCGUGCCAGCAGCCGCGGUAAUACGGAGGAUCCGAGCGUUAUCCGGAUUUAUUGGGUUUAAAGGGAGCGUAGGUGGAUUGUUAAGUCAGUUGUGAAAGUUUGCGGCUCAACCGUAAAAUUGCAGUUGAAACUGGCAGUCUUGAGUACAGGAGAGGUGGGCGGAAUUCGUGGUGUAGCGGUGAAAUGCUUAGAUAUCACGAAGAACUCCGAUUGCGAAGGCAGUUCACUGGACUGCAACUGACACUGAGGCUCGAAAGUGUGGGUAUCAAACAGGAUUAGAUACCCUGGUAGUC
rnacentral:rRNA from 1 species